UUAACACACACUGUUCAGUUCCUCUCUGCUCUGCUCAGCCAAGCACUUUGCAGGCUCAGAACCACAAGUCUUCGGUGGCACUGCGGGGAAGGGCUGGGGGCGAGAUGGUUGUCUACAGCAGGACCAUGCAGGUGAACAGGUAGCGGUGUGGCCAAAGGCCUCAGACUAGAACUUGCUACCUCUGUCCGUACCACGAUUAUUCAGAGCAAAGGCUCCAAAUGGGGUGGGCCCAGGAAAAGAUGAUGGAGAAAGUGCUAGAGAGAGUGCUUUUCAGAAAAGGGUUUGGAAGUGUUUCUAUGGGUUAGGUCAUGUUUUGGCCAAAAAUCAUGUGAGGGUGUUACUCAAACAAACCUGGAAACUGCUUUUAUAAUUUGUUCAAAACUUUCCAAAUGAAGAGUUUUGGUGUAUUAAAGUCUUUGGUUAAAAAGUAUAAAAACCUUAAUACAUUUGUGUCAUCGGCCAUGAGAGAAGAUGGAAAUUCAUUACUCAGAUUUCCACAAAAACCUUUGCAUAACUGAUGAAGAAAAAUGAAGAAUGAGCAAUUAUGACUUAAUGUGACUAGUUGUGUUCUUCUUCCAUUUAGAGUUACUAAAUUUUGGAAGUCAGUGCAUUAAAAGCAACCAUAAAACUAAGCUGAACUUGUAACCGACAUCUGAAUUACUAAUCACAGUUUUAAAGCAUUUACAGUAAUGAAGUGCUCAUUAUUCUUAAAAAUACUGAAUAGAAAUUUUAUCAUUAAUAUUUUUAAACAUUGUAUUUUAACCUCAUUCAAAACUUCUAUAAUACAAUUUAGUCAUGCACAAAAUUGAUUAAUAAACAUACAUCUCAUGGUAGAAAUCUAAACACUUUACUACUAAGGUUUACAACCAAGGCAGUUGUAUGGUUAUUUUUACAGAUAUUAAGAGAGAUAUCUAUGAAGCCUAAAUACUAAGAACAUUCUUUUAAAAUAUUUUGUUAUCAAUUUCAAAUUGUCCAAAUAACCGUUGUGGCUGCUCCAUACCAUAUAACUCUUGAAUUUCUCUAAUCAUUCUAAUCAUUUCUAGAGAUGGCAGCAAAAUAGUUUACAUGAUGGAAUUUCUCUUUUAUAAAACCAAAGGGAAUUCUGUGUUGAUCUGUUUCUUCUAAAAACAUUACAAUGCAAGUUUUCAAAAGUCCAAAGGUAAAAAAGAAAUAGUUGUCAAGAACAAACAUUAUAUCUAAUCAUGUCAAAUCCUGUUGCAAUAGAAUUUCUCUGCCUCUGGGUCCAUACACAGGGGUCACUCACUGGAGAGCCUCCCAGUUUUAACUCCCUAUCAAUUAAAGCUGCCAGGGAUCUACUCUGAUCCUGUAGCCAACCAUCAGGUGAUUCUGAAACUCUCUACACCUCACUAAGCAUUUUCAUGUACAAAAUGAGGUGGGAGGUGACUUUCUAGUAUGAAGAGAAGUAAGUUCCCUCCAGUCUUCCCAGUCUAGAAUUAUUUUGAGCCAUGCCAAACCCUUAAAGCAGAGUUUAGAUUUAAGACAAUGUGGCUUGUAAAUUAUUUUCCCACAGUUGCUGGAUUUUAAUUAGCAGAAUUAAAUAGUAAUCAGAGUCAGCUCUUCCUACAGCUGGCAGAGCAGGGCAGAUGAAAGCUGGGAGGCAGUCCCAGAAGCCAGAAGUGGUCCCUGAAGUUUGUCAUCUCCAGUGGUGCACCAUCAGUGACUCUCGAUGCCAAUGUCAAUCUGAGUCCGAACUCUACGGAUCACUAAUUGUACACUUAGACGAAGGGCCUGUAUAAAAGGACUCAUACAUGCAUGCUGUCAUUCAAAGUAGGCAAGUUCCAAAACUAAACAGGGCGGCUUAUACUAUGUUAACGUGGUUAACCCAGAACUGUGUUUCCCAGAGUCCCCUUCCCUGGUGGUCUAAUUCAGAAUUGGCUCUAAGACCUGCUGGCAUGAGAUCUGGAGGGCCAAAGUGAAACAAGUGCCAUUUUUAUCUGAGAUCACCAUUGUUCAAUGUGGUGUAGCAACGUGACAGACACAAAGGUGCCUGGCCAGUUCCAGCUUGUCCUCAUUCCCUUCUGCUUCACCUCCAGCUCUUCUUCCUGAGUGCUGACUAGGGUGGCCCCAGGCACACCACUAAACACCUGGCUGCAGACCCACAGAGGUGGUCACAGAGCCCCCGCCACGUCACCUGCCCAGGCCCACUUCUGCAGUGGCCUUGUGCUUUGCUUCUGAAAGACGACCUGGUGACUUAGCCUGAUUCAAACACCUUCUGAAUCUUCACUUCUCCAGCGCUUCACACAGUUGAGUUUGGUCUAAUUCUGUAACAAAAUCCAGGAUCCCAUGGCACUUGGAGCAACUCUUCUCCUGUUUACCAAACCAGACACACAAACCUCCAAAUGGACAUUGUUGUUCUAUCUACAGGCCACCCCUGAGAGGGAGCCGAACCGAGUGUGCAAGCUGAAGAGAGUCCCAUCCUGUUCCAGGUAGUAGUACACUUCUUGAGGCCUCAUAAUGUCUUAAGAGACAUAAAUGGCAUCUAAAGAUUGACACCACCAAGUGCACAAAUGAGUGUUGGGGGAAAUAUAACCCAAAACAUGGCUUAAAAAUUUGGCUCUGAGAAUCCUCACACAGUUGCCUCUCCGCUCCUUGCCUAGUCAGUCACAGGCUGAGACUGUCCAACCUACAUCCACAGGCUCAUGUCAACAGUCCUUUCUGCCCAACCCAAUCUCGUAACAGGACUCACUGCCACAUACAAUGAUGGAGCUGGUCUCAUCAGUGCUAAACUCACACCCUGUGUAGAGGUGUUACAACUUACGUAAUAAACACUCAGAUAACAACACUGGAUGCAGACACCAAUAUCUCAAAUAAUCUCACUGAUGGUUGGGUCAUGACCACACGUAGGCCACAGGUGUUCAUAAGGCAUUCCUUUACUCCUGGGCUGAAAAGCAAAAAUCCAAAGUUAAAAAAAAAAAAAAAACCACCAUAAAAAUGUGAGCAUGAAUUAUUUCUUGUUUUAUUGCUUUCUUG
rnacentral:lncRNA from 1 species